rnacentral:rRNA from 1 species
AUUGAACGCUGGCGGCAGGCCUAACACAUGCAAGUCGAACGAGUGGCGGACGGGUGAGUAAUGUCUGGGAAACUGACCGUUGGAGACGGAUAACUACUGGAAAAGGUCGCGCAUAACGCAUACCAUCGGAUAUGCCGAGGUGGUAUUAGAUUGUAUGUGAGGUAACGGCUCAACUAGGCGACGAACCCUAGCUGGUCUGCGAGGAUGACCAGCCACACUGGAACUGAGACACGGUCCAGACUCCUACGGGAGGCAGCAGUGGGGAAUAUUGAACAAUGGGCGCAAGCAUGAUGCAGCCAUGCCGCGUGUAUGAAGAAGGUCUUCGGAGUGUAAAGCACUGUAAGUUGGGAGGCGUUACCAACAGAAUAAGCACCGGCUAACUUCGGGCCAGCAGCCGCGGUAAUAC